UACGUAGGGUGCAAGCGUUGUCCGGAAUUAUUGGGCGUAAAGAGCUCGUAGGCGGUUUGUCGCGUCGAAUGUGAAAACCCGGGGCUCAACCCCGGGCCUGCAUUCGAUACGGGCAGGCUAGAGUUCGGUAGGGGAGUCUGGAAUUCCUGGUGUAGCGGUGAAAUGCGCAGAUAUCAGGAGGAACACCGGUGGCGAAGGCGGGACUCUGGGCCGAUACUGACGCUGAGGAGCGAAAGCGUGGGGGGCGAACAGG
rnacentral:rRNA from 1 species